rnacentral:rRNA from 1 species
AGCGAACGCUGGCGGCAGGCCUAACACAUGCAAGUCGAACGAACCUUUCGGGGUUAGUGGCGGACGGGUGAGUAACACGUGGGAACGUGCCUUUAGGUUCGGAAUAACUCAGGGAAACUUGUGCUAAUACCGAAUGUGCCCUUCGGGGGAAAGAUUUAUCGCCUUUAGAGCGGCCCGCGUCUGAUUAGCUAGUUGGUUGAGGUAAUGGCUCACCAAGGCGACGAUCAGUAGCUGGUCUGAGAGGAUGAUCAGCCACAUUGGGACUGAGACACGGCCCAAACUCCUACGGGAGGCAGCCGUGGGGAAUCUUGCGGAAUGGGCGAAAGCCUGACGCAGCCAUGCCGCGUGAAUGAUGAAGGUCUUAGGAUUGUAAAAUUCUUUCACCGGGGACGAUAAUGACGGUACCCGGAGAAGAAGCCCCGGCUAACUUCGUG